GUGAAGCGACAGCGGCAGCCAACCUCUAGGGCUGUUUGAGACCUAGAGACCCUAAAUCUUUGGCGCGCGUAAGCGCCCACGCCGCUCCUUCUCCACUCCCAGGGCUAGGGGCGCGAGAUUCGCCUCUUUUUAUUCUCUCCUCUCCUGCCCGGAGCCAACCGCCCCGGUGCGCGCGGACAUCUCGCGCCGCCGCUCCCUCCUCCCUGCCCCUCCCCCUUCGGGAGCUCCCGCCCGCGCGCUCCUCCUCCUCCCCUUUCCCCGGCGACGCGCACGCGCGCCAGGCCGGCUCGCGCCCUCUCGCUUUCCUCCAGCCCGCGAGACCCCCUCCCCUUCCGCCUCGCGGCGCUUCCUCGCGCCGCGGUCUUCUCUAUCCACCCCCGACAUCGCGGGGCUCCCCCCGCCCGCCAACGGCGGGUCCCCGGCUUCCCAGGCCCCCUCGCUUCCCGUGCUCUCCAGCGGGGGCCUAGCCCCGGCCUCCUCUCUCCCUCCCUUCCCCCUAAUUCCCCUUCCGGACGCUGCCAUCAUGUUGAAGCCUCAGCCGCCACAACAGACCUCCCAGCCCCAGCAGCCGCCCCCCACGCAACAGGCCGUGGCCCGCCGGCCUCCCGGGGGCACCAGCCCUCCCAACGGCGGCCUCCCGGGGCCCCUGGCCUCCACCUCGGCUCCCGCAGGGCCUCCCGCGGCCGCUUCUCCCUGCCUGGGGCCUGCAGCCGCCGCCGGGAGCGGGCUCCGCCGGGGAGCCGAGGGCAUCUUGGCGCCGCAGCCGCCGCCGCCGCAGCAACACCAGGAGAGGCCAGGGGCGACGGCUAUCGGCAGCGCCAGGGGACAAAGCACAGGAAAGGGACCCCCACAGUCACCGGUGUUCGAAGGUGUCUACAACAAUUCCAGAAUGCUGCAUUUUCUUACAGCUGUUGUGGGCUCCACUUGUGAUGUAAAGGUGAAGAAUGGUACCACCUAUGAAGGUAUCUUCAAGACUCUGAGCUCAAAGUUUGAACUAGCAGUAGAUGCUGUACACCGGAAAGCAUCUGAGCCAGCAGGUGGCCCUCGUCGGGAAGACAUUGUGGACACCAUGGUGUUUAAGCCAAGCGAUGUCAUGCUUGUCCACUUCCGAAAUGUUGACUUCAAUUAUGCUACUAAAGACAAAUUCACUGAUUCAGCCAUUGCCAUGAACUCAAAAGUGAAUGGGGAGCACAAAGAGAAGGUGCUUCAGCGCUGGGAAGGGGGCGACAGCAACAGCGAUGACUAUGACCUCGAGUCUGACAUGUCCAAUGGAUGGGACCCCAACGAAAUGUUCAAGUUCAACGAGGAGAACUAUGGUGUAAAGACCACCUAUGACAGCAGUCUUUCUUCUUACACGGUGCCCUUGGAGAAGGACAACUCAGAAGAGUUUCGUCAGCGGGAGCUGCGUGCAGCCCAAUUAGCUCGAGAGAUUGAAUCAAGCCCCCAGUACCGCCUGCGGAUCGCCAUGGAGAACGAUGAUGGGCGCACCGAGGAGGAGAAGCACAGUGCGGUCCAGCGGCAGGGUUCAGGACGGGAGAGCCCCAGCUUGGCAUCUAGGGAGGGAAAGUAUAUCCCUCUACCCCAGCGAGUUCGGGAAGGUCCCCGGGGAGGAGUUCGAUGCAGUAGUUCCCGGGGUGGCCGGCCUGGCCUUAGCUCUUUGCCACCUCGUGGCCCUCACCACCUUGACAGUAGCAGCCCCGGCCCAGGUUCUGAGACACGUGGUAUCAAUGGAGGCCCUUCCCGCAUGUCCCCUAAGGCACAACGGCCUGUGAGAGGUGGUGCCAAGACUCUGUCCUCACCCAGCAGUAGGCCUUCUGGAGAAGCUUCCGCUCCGCCCCCUCCUGCAGCUUUCCCUUUUCUUCCAGUGGGCCGGAUGUACCCCCCGCGCUCUCCCAAGUCGGCUGCCCCUGCCCCAAUCUCAGCUUCCUGUCCUGAUGCCCCCAUGGGCUCGGCAGUACCGACCUCUUCGGCUUCUAUCCCUGUGACAUCAUCAGUUGUGGAUCCUGGAGUAGGCUCCAUUUCCCCAGCUUCUCCAAAGAUCUCAUUGGCCCCCACAGAUGUAAAAGAACUUCCAGCCAAGGAACCUGGGAGAACUCUGGAGUCCCAGGAGCUGUCCCGGAUAGCUGGGAAAGUCCCUGGCCUUCAGAAUGAACAGAAACGCUUUCAACUGGAAGAACUGAGAAAGUUUGGGGCCCAGUUUAAGCUGCAGCCCAGUAGCUCCCCUGAGACCAGCCUGGAUCCUUUUCCUCCCCGGAUCUUAAAGGAGGAGGCCAAAGGGAAAGAGAAGGAGGUCGAUGGUUUAUUAACGUCAGAGCCAGUGGGGUCCCCAGUCUCCUCGAAGACGGAGUCUGUAUCGGAUAAGGAGGACAAGCCGCCCCUGCCGCCGGCAGGAGGCACAGAGGGGCCCGAGCAGCCCCCGCCACCUUGCCCAAGCCAGACUGGCAGCCCCCCGGUAGGCCUCAUCAAGGGAGACGACAAGGACGAGGGCCCGGUCGCUGAACAAGUGAAGAAGUCAACACUGAACCCCAACGCCAAGGAGUUCAAUCCCACAAAGCCUCUGCUGUCUGUGAAUAAAUCCACCAGUACCCCGACUUCUCCGGGGCCCCGGACUCAUUCAACUCCCUCCAUCCCGGUGCUGACAGCAGGCCAGAGUGGGCUCUACAGCCCCCAGUACAUUUCCUACAUACCUCAGAUCCACAUGGGACCAGCUGUUCAGGCACCUCAGAUGUAUCCAUACCCUGUAUCCAAUUCUGUGCCUGGACAGCAGGGCAAGUACCGGGGAGCAAAAGGCUCCCUGCCCCCCCAGCGCUCGGACCAACACCAGCCAGCCUCAGCCCCUCCGAUGAUGCAGGCCGCCGCCGCUGCUGGCCCACCUCUGGUGGCUGCCACGCCGUACUCUUCCUACAUCCCUUACACCCCACAGCAGUUCCCGGGCCAGCCCGCCAUGAUGCAGCCCAUGGCCCACUACCCCUCGCAGCCAGUGUUUGCCCCCAUGCUUCAGAGCAACCCACGCAUGCUGACGUCGGGGAGUCAUCCCCAGGCCAUUGUGUCGUCCUCCACCCCUCAGUACCCUUCUGCAGAGCAGCCCACCCCCCAAGCCCUCUAUGCCACUGUUCACCAGUCCUAUCCACACCAUGCCACGCAGCUCCAUGCCCACCAGCCGCAGCCGGCCACCACACCUACUGGGAGCCAGCCGCAGUCCCAGCAUGCGGCCCCCAGUCCCGUCCAGCACCAGGCGGGGCAGGCCCCACACCUGGGCAGUGGACAGCCACAGCAGAAUCUGUACCACCCAGGGGCCCUGACAGGCACGCCGCCUUCUCUGCCACCGGGACCUUCUGCCCAGUCCCCUCAGAGCAGCUUCCCCCAACCAGCCGCUGUAUAUGCCAUCCAUGCCCAUCAGCAGCUGCCCCACGGCUUCACCAACAUGGCCCAUGUUACCCAGGCCCAUGUCCAAACUGGAAUCACAGCAGCCCCGCCCCCUCACCCUGGGGCUCCCCACCCGCCCCAGGUGAUGCUGCUGCACCCACCCCAGAGCCAUGGGGGCCCCCCCCAAGGCGCGGUGCCCCAGAGUGGGGUGCCUGCACUCUCAGCUUCCACACCCUCACCCUACCCCUACAUCGGACACCCCCAAGUGAUUUUGGCCGCUGGAAACAAAGGCCUGCCCGGAGCCCAGCUGAGAGGUGGUGUGUGCAGGUGGGCAUUGCAAAGAUGAAGCCACCGGCAGAGGGGAGACGGCUGGAAUGAGGAGCCUGGUUUAGGGGAGCAAGAGCUAAACCGGGGGCUAAAUGGCACGAAUGGAAGAGCCAGGUGAGAAAACGGAGCAUCAGGGUGAUUUCGGAACCCAAUCCAAGUGAACUCCAAAAAAGUGUGCACUUAACCACCGCCCGGUACUGUCAUUCAGCUUCAAUUUACUGCUCAGAUAAAAUGAAGAACCUGCUAAGACUUCUGUCCUCCUGGCCCUCCAGCCCAUCAGCUCUGCUUAGGAAGGGCUGGUGCCAUAACUAAAGGUUUUCUUUGGCUUUAUCCCGUACCUCAGUCAGUCAUUCCUGGGAAUUUCGUCUAAGACACUAUUGGCCAUUAUCAAAAUGUAAGAUUCUUGGGGUGUGGUACUUGAACGAAUGCUUUCUGUUUUAGUGGUGCUAUAUUUAUUUGAAUGUAUAUUAGUUUGAAAAAAAAAAACUGGGGUGGCAAAUACUGAGAUUAAAAAAUGAGUCAAUUUAAAAAACAGCAUGUGGUAGUGAUAUUAUGGGUAGUAUAAACAUAUGGCAGAUUUGGGGGCAGGUGGUACAUGAACAACUGAAAUUUGAGAAACACAGCACUCAGAAAAGAGUCCAGAGGGAGAGGAUUUUUUGUAGAGCUGUUGACUGUAGCAUCCUGUGUAAUAGUUGGAAGUCUUGAUUUACAGACAACCGAAUUUACAUUGGCUGGUUUACGCAAAAGAAGGAUUUGUUUAAGGGUUUGAGUCAGCUUACAGAAUUGUGGAACGGGCUGGAGAAACAGCUCCCGAGCCUUAGAACUGACCUGACGUGGGAAGAAGAGCGCUGCUCCCGCCACCGCCACGAAACACUAAUGGCCAGGGCUUAGACUCGGCCGCGACACCUCCUGCUCAUGGCACCAAAGCCACUUCUGCCUCAAGAAAGUGGCCUUGCCUCCCUCCCGACCCUCCUGCCCCCAAAGUCAGCCAAAUCCAAAGCCUCCCUUGAACGCGUCUGAUUGGAGAAGCCUAGAUCGUCCUGUGUCCAUGUCUUGUACAGAGGAGCCUGGGACAAGCUGCCUAACUUGGAUGUUGGAGAGCAGGAGUGCUGGCGGGACUCUCCCCAGAUGCCCAGCCAUGCCUGGGACCCCCAGCACAGGGAACACACGUCCAGCAGGUGGCUCUGGGGCUGUCGGUUUGGCAUGGCCCCUAGAUGAGGUAGUAAUAGAGUGGGCUCAGAGUUGCAGAGACCAGGGGAGCCAACCACGUGGGCAAAUGCUUGUGAGCAGUGCCAGAUGAAGAAGGAAGGCUGGCUGCUGUAGAAACAUAGCAGGUGGGGGUUGGUGGGAUGGGCGGGCGGACGACAAAAGGAAGUGGAGAACAAUCAGGGCUUUAGGAGGCUGUGAAUUUGCUUGGAGAAAGAUUUUUCUCUUUCAGACAUGUAUUUUGAGUGAUUAGAGUUAAAGACACGUUCUUUGUGCAGAAUCUUGAACUCUUUAAAAAGACGCUCUUGAAAUCAAAUGGCCUUUUGGGUCCCCCCAGCAGUCUGUGCCUUUGAGCCCCUGCUUAACAGCCAUUUUUCCAUCUUCCUACAGACGGGGCCCUGAUUUUGUUCACAGUGAUCCUUUCCCCAGUUCCGGGAAUAAAUCCUGACAGGCCACGUCUACUUCUGAUGGUCCUAUUCUCCUUGCCAGGGGCUUUGUUUAGGGUUGGGUGUGUGACUUCUUUGGGGCCCAUGAUUGGUAAGAGGAGAUCUACUUUGGGGGGCUUCCAGGAAAGGGUCCCUCGCCCUCAAGGAGACAUGAAAGGGAUGGACUGCCUUCUGACUCUGGAUGCAAAGCCUGGAACUACUCUGCCCAUCUUAUUUCCAGUCAGUGAUGAAGCCAAAAUCCAGAAGAGGGCAAAACAGAGGAUUUUAGAAGACUGGACUCCUUGUGGUGUGAUGACGAGUGUCCUUACUAUUUAAGCCGACUAUGUCACAGUUGUCUGUUUGCAUUCAGAUACCUCCUAACAGAUAACCUGUCUUACAGCACUUGAUACCCUGGGACAUAUUUCUUGGUUUCAUUUGUCUGAGACCGAGUGGCCUGAGUAGGGCCAGGACUGGACUUCCUUUAUGUCUGUAUCCUCUGCCUGGCCACUGUAGGGCUCCGCAUGAUUGCACCUGACCUAUUAAUGAGCCUUCCAAACUGAAGGGUGCCAUCAAGUGGUGCGACAGACCUAACAUGUCCAAAACAGGACCCUUCAUUCUCUCCCAGGCUCUGCUUCCACCUCUGAAUAAACAAUGCCACCUUUCUCCCUUCCCCUCAACCCCGAUUACCCAGUCCUGCUGGUUCUCUCUCCAAAAUAUAUCUCGGAUGUGACCAUUUGUCUGUCUACACUGCUGACCCUGUGGUUCAGUCUGGGAUCAUCUGUCACCUAGGUUAGCUCACAACCUCUACAAUGGGUCUCCAAGCUCCCGUUCUUCUCGAUACCUGGCAAAUCCAUCCCCACACAGUAGUUACAUCAGCCUUUAAAAUGUGGAUCAGAAGGGGCACUUGGCUGGCUCAGUUGGUAGAGCAUGCGACUUUUUUUUUUUUAAGAUUUUUAUUUACUUGAGAGAGAGAGCAUGAGCUAGGGAUUGGGGGGAGGAAGGGGCAGAAGGAGAGGGAGAAGCAGGCUCCUCGCUCGAUCCCAGGACUCUGGGAUCGUGACCUGAGCCAAAGGCAAAUGCUUAACCAGCUGAGCCACCCAGACACCCUGAGCAUGCGACUCUUGAUCUUAGGGUUGUGAAAUCGAGGCCCACGUUGGGUGUAGAGAUUAAUUAAUUAAAUAAAAUAAAGAUUCCCUUUCAAAUUUUAAUUAAGUGUGGAUCAGAAAUUACCCCCCCCCAUGACUCCUUACUACACUUAGAAUAAAACCCCAACUCCUUCUUUAAAUGGGCAAACUGUAUGGCAGGUGAAUUAUAUCUCAAUGAAACUGUUAUAUAAAAAUCCAAACUCCUCCCUGUGGCCCACCUGUUUGACCCGAACUAGGAUGAUUUUCCUCUCACUUGCUCCCAAUCGCACUGGCCAUUCUGUUCUGCGAAUAUCCCACAAUUGUUUCUACCUCGGGCUCUUUGCAGAUCUUCUUCCUUCUCCCUGGAGUGUCCUUCCAGCUCCACCUCAGAUGUCACCUAUCUAAAGUAGCCCCCCCUGCCCGAGGCCCACCCUCUUCUCAGUGGUCCAUUUUGGUUUUCUUCAUAGCACCUAAAUGUCUAAAAUUAUCUUAUUAGUUCACUUGUUGGUUGGUUUGUGGGAUUGUUGCUGUUCCCUGUCUUACCAGGUCAUGACAGUAAGAGCUUUUUUUUUUUUUUUAACUCUAUGAACAGUGCCCAACUAACAGUCAGGUGAAGAAGUAUUUGUUGAAGGAAUUAUAUGUUGAAUUAUUUCAGUUGAGCAUGUGUGUUGGGCUUAUUAAGUGUCCUGAUGUUUUUGAUGGAAAGCAAAUUUUGUAUUCACAUUCACGUUAAAAAUAAAGGUGAACCACUGUAA